GGAGUUAGCCGGUGCUUCUUCUGUGAGUGAUGUCCUUCCUGCCGGCUAUUAACCCGCAGGCCUUCUUCCUCACUGAAAGUGCUUUACAACCCGAAGGCCUUCUUCACACACGCGGCAUGGCUGGAUCAGGGUUGCCCCCAUUGUCCAAUAUUCCCCACUGCUGCCUCCCGUAGGAGUCUGGGCCGUGUCUCAGUCCCAGUGUGGCUGAUCAUCCUCUCAGACCAGCUACGGAUCGUCGCCUUGGUGAGCCGUUACCUCACCAACCAAGCUAAUCCGACAUAGGCUCAUCCGAUAGCGCGAGGCCCGAAGGUCCCCCGCUUUCCCCCGUAGGGCGUAUGCGGUAUUAGCCUGGGUUUCCCCAGGUUAUCCCCCACUACCGGGCAGAUUCCUAUGCAUUACUCACCCGUCCGCCGCUCGCCACCAGGGAGCAAGCUCCCCGUGCUGCCGCUCGACUUGCAUGUGUUAGGCCUGCCGCCAGCGUUCAAUCUGAGCCAUGAUCAAACUCUGA
rnacentral:rRNA from 1 species